GUAGAAAUGGCUCAGCAGUGAAGAGCACUGGCUUCUCUUCCAGAGAUUUCUGAGUUCAAUUCCCAGCAUCCACA
rnacentral:tRNA from 1 species